rnacentral:rRNA from 1 species
AGAGUUUGAUCCUGGCUCAGGAUUAACGCUAGCGGCAGGCAUAAUACAUGCAAGUUGAACGGCAGCACAGGUAGCAAUACUGGGUGGCGAGUGGCGCACGGGUGCGUAACACGUAUGCAACCUACCCUAUACAGGCGAAUAACCUUUAGAAAUGAGGGCUAAUACGCCGUAGUAUUACAGAUGGGCAUCUAUUUGUAAUUAAAGAUUUAUCGGUAUAGGAUGGGCAUGCGUCCCAUUAGUUAGUUGGUAAGGUAACGGCUUACCAAGACGAUGAUGGGUAGGGGAUCUGAGAGGACUUACCCCCACACUGGUACUGAGACACGGACCAGACUCCUACGGGAGGCAGCAGUAAGGAAUAUUGGGCAAUGGCCGCGAGGCUGACCCAGCCAUGCCGCGUGCAGGAAGACGGCCUUAUGGGUUGUAAACUGCUUUUAUACGGGAAUAAUAGAGUGUACGCGUACAUUUAUGCAAGUAUCGUAUGAAUAAGCAUCGGCUAACUCCGUGCCAGCAGCCGCGGUAAUACGGAGGAUGCGAGCGUUAUCCGGAUUUAUUGGGUUUAAAGGGUGCGCAGGCGGAUUUAUAAGUCAGUGGUGAAACACUCCGGCUCAACUGGGGGACUGCCAUUGAUACUGUAGGUCUUGAGUUAAGAGGGCGUUGGCGGAAUGUGUCAUGUAGCGGUGAAAUGCAUAGAUAUGACACAGAACACCGAUAGCGAAGGCAGCUGACGAUACUUUAACUGACGCUCAUGCACGAGAGCGUGGGGAUCAAACAGGAUUAGAUACCCUGGUAGUCCACGCUGUAAACGAUGAUCACUAGCUGUAGGCGAUACACUGUCUGUGGUUAAGCGAAAGCGAUAAGUGAUCCACCUGGGGAGUACGUCGGCAACGAUGAAACUCAAAGGAAUUGACGGGGGCCCGCACAAGCGGAGGAGCAUGUGGUUUAAUUCGAUGAUACGCGAGGAACCUUACCUGGGCUUGAACGUAUGGUGCAUUAUGGAGAAAUUCAUAUUUCUA